GGAGAGAUGGCCGAGCGGCUGAAGGCGGUUGACUCGAAAUCAACUGUACCUUUACGGGUACCGGGGGUUCAAAUCCCUCUCUCUCCG
rnacentral:tRNA from 1 species